UACGUAGGGUGCGAGCGUUGCCCGGAUUUAUUGGGCGUAAAGGGCGCGUAGGCGGCCACGCACGUCCGUUGUGAAAUCGCCCGGCUCAACUGGGCGGGGUCAGCGGAUACGGUGUGGCUCGAGCAAGCUAGGGGGCAAUGGAAUUCCCGGUGUAGCGGUGAAAUGCGUAGAUAUUGGGAGGAACACCAGUGGCGAAGGCGGCUCACUGGACCGGUACUGACGCUGAUGGCGCGAAAGCGUGGGGAGCAAACGG
rnacentral:rRNA from 1 species